rnacentral:rRNA from 1 species
GCUUGUCUCAAAGAUUAAGCCAUGCAUGUUCAAGUAUAGCAAGUGUACAGUGAAACUGCGAAUGGCUCAUUAAAUCAGUUAUAAUUUAUUUGAUAGUGAAAUUGUACAUGGAUAACUGUGGUAAUUCUAGAGCUAAUACAUGCAUUCAAGCCCCGACUUCUGGAAGGGGUGUAUUUAUUAGAUAAAAAUCAACUUUGUUGGUGAAUCAUAAUAACUUCUCGGACCGCAUGGCCUCGUGCUGGCGGUGCUUCAUUCAAAUAUCUGCCCUAUCAACUGUCGAUGGUAGGAUAGAGGCCUACCAUGGUUGCAACGGGUAACGGGGAAUAAGGGUUCGAUUCCGGAGAGGGAGCCUGAGAAACGGCUACCACAUCCAAGGAAGGCAGCAGG